UACGUAGGGGGCUAGCGUUGCUCGGAAUCACUGGGCGUAAAGCGCACGUAGGCGGCUUUGUAAGUCAGUGGUGAAAUAUGGCAGCUCAACUGUCAGGGUGCCAUUGAUACUGCGGAGCUUGAGUACAGAUGAGGUAGGCGGAAUUGACGGUGUAGCGGUGAAAUGCUUAGAUAUCGUCAAGAACACCGAUAGCGAAGGCAGCUUACUGGGCUGUAACUGACGCUGAGGCACGAAAGUGUGGGGAUCAAACAGG
rnacentral:rRNA from 1 species